GCCAGUGUGGCUCAGUUGGUUAGAGCAUCAUCCCAUGGAUUGAAAGGUCAUGGGUUCGAUUCCCAGUCAGGGCA
rnacentral:tRNA from 1 species